rnacentral:pre_miRNA from 1 species
UCUUAUGAUGAGCAAAAAAAGUGGUUUCUUGAGAUGGAAUCUUCCAUUGGUGAAGAUGCUGUGAGAA